AACUGAAACAUCUAAGUACCUGAAGGAAGAGAAAGAAAUUCGAUUCCGUAAGUAGCGGCGAGCGAACGCGGAUUAGCCCAAACCAAUAAAGUUUUCUUUAUUGGGGUUGCGGACAUAUCAUAACGAAGAGGUAUCGUAAUUGAAGAGGUUUGGAAAGACCCACCACAGAAGGUAAUAGUCCUGUAUGUUAAACGAGAAGACUUCAGAUAUGAUCCAGAGUACCACGGGACACGUGAAACCCUGUGGGAAGCAGGAGGGACCACCCUCCAAGGCUAAAUACUACCUAGUGACCGAUAGCGUAUAGUACCGUGAGGGAAAGGUGAAAAGAACCCCGGGAGGGGAGUGAAAUAGAACCUGAAACCCUGCACUUACAAGCUGUGGAAGCACAUUUCUUGUGUGACCGCGUACUUUUUGUAGAACGGGCCAACGAGUUACGUUAAGUAGCAAGGUUAAGCACUUAAGGUGUGGAGCCGUAGCGAAAGCGAGUUUUAACUGAGCGUUCAGUUACUUGACGUAGACCCGAAACCGGGCGACCUACCCAUGAGCAGGAUGAAGCGAAAGUAAAAUUUCGUGGAGGUCCGAACCCACGAGCGUUGAAAAGCUCGGGGAUGACUUGUGGGUAGCGGUGAAAUUCCAAUCGAGCCCGGAGAUAGCUGGUUCUCCCCGAAAUAGCUUUAGGGCUAGCCUCAAGGUGAGAGAUACGGAGGUAGAGCACUGAAUGUCCUAGGGGGUAUUGCACCUACCGAAGACUAUCAAACUCCGAAUGCCGUCAUCUUAUACUUGGGAGUCAGACUGUGGGUGAUAAGAUUCAUAGUCGAAAGGGCAACAGCCCAGAUCGUCAGCUAAGGUCCCUAAAUGUAAGUUAAGUGGUAAAGGAUGUGGGAUUGCACAGACAACCAGGAUGUUGGCUUAGAAGCAGCCACUCAUUCAAAGAGUGCGUAAUAGCUCACUGGUCGAGUGAUCCUGCGCCGAAGAUUUCCGGGGCUAAAACUUACUACCGAAGCUACGGCAUCAGUAAUGAUGGGUAGGGGAGCUUCCCAUACGGGUUGAAGCAUGACCGUAAGGACAUGUGGACAGUAUGGGAGUGAGAAUGUUGGCAUGAGUAGCGAGAUGUGGGUGAGAAUCCCACAGGCCGUAAACCCAAGGUUUCCAGGGGAAGGUUCGUCCGCCCUGGGUUAGUCGGGACCUAAGCUGAGGCCGAAAGGCGUAGGUGAUGGACAACAGGUUGAUAUUCCUGUACUACCGAUAACCGUUUGAGAGAAGGGAUGACACAGUAGGAUAAGCUAAGCACACUGUUGGUUAUGUGUGCCCAAGCAUUGAGGCAGUCAAAGUAGGCAAAUCCGCUUUGAUAAUGCUGGGAUGUGAUGGGGAGCGAAAUUUAGUAGCGAAGUAGCUGAUUUCACACUGUCAAGAAAAGUCUCUAUCGAGGUUAAAGGUACCCGUACCGCAAACCGACACAGGUGGGUGAGGAGAGUAUCCUAAGGCCAGCGAGAGAACUGUUGUUAAGGAACUCGGCAAAAUGACCCCGUAACUUAGGGAUAAGGGGUGCCACCAUCAGGUGGCCGCAGAGAAUAGGCCCAAGCGACUGUUUACCAAAAACAUAGGUUUCUGCUAAGUCGCAAGACGAUGUAUAGGAGCUGACGCCUGCCCGGUGCUGGAAGGUUAAGGGGAUCUGUUAGAGCAAUCGAAGCAGUGAACUUAAGCCCCAGUAAACGGCGGCCGUAACUAUAACGGUCCUAAGGUAGCGAAAUUCCUUGUCGGGUAAGUUCCGACCCGCACGAAAGGCGUAACGAUUUGGGCACUGUCUCAACAACAGACUCGGUGAAAUUGUAAUUCCGGUGAAGAUGCCGGAUACCUGCGACAGGACGGAAAGACCCCAUGGAGCUUUACUGUAGCUUGACAUUGGGUCUUGGUACUACAUGUACAGGAUAGGUGGGAGGCUUUGAAACCAGGACGCCAGUUUUGGCGGAGCCAUCCUUGGGAUACCACCCUUGUAGUACUGGGACUCUAACCAUAGGCCAUGAAUCUGGUCUUGGGACACUGUCAGGUGGGCAGUUUGACUGGGGCGGUCGCCUCCCAAAAGGUAACGGAGGCGCUCAAAGGUUCUCUCAGUACGGUCGGAAAUCGUACGUAGAGUGUAAAGGCAAAAGAGAGCUUGAUUGCAAGACAUACAGGUCGAGCAAGGAUGAAAAUCGGACUUAGUGAUCCGGUGGUUCUGCGUGGAAGGGCCAUCGCUCAACGGAUAAAAGCUACCCUGGGGAUAACAGGCUUAUCUCCCCCAAGAGUCCACAUCGACGGGGAGGUUUGGCACCUCGAUGUCGGCUCAUCACAUCCUGGGGCUGUAGUAGGUCCCAAGGGUUGGGCUGUUCGCCCAUUAAAGUGGUACGCGAGCUGGGUUCAGAACGUCGUGAGACAGUUCGGUCCCUAUCCGUCGCAGGCGUAGGAAAUUUGAGAAGACCUGUCCUUAGUACGAGAGGACCGGGAUGGACGUACCUCUGGUGUACCAGUUGUUCUGCCAAGGGCAUGGCUGGGUAGCUAUGUACGGAAUGGAUAAGCGCUGAAAGCAUCUAAGCGCGAAGCCAACUUCAAGAUAAGAUUUCCCACCGCAAGGGUAAGACCCCAGAAAGACUAUCUGGUUGAUAGGUCGAAGGUGUAAGUGCAGCAAUGUAUUUAGCUUAUCGAUACUAAUAGGUCGAGGACUUGACCAA
rnacentral:rRNA from 1 species